UCGGGAAUUUUGGGCAAUGGGCGAAAGCCUGACCCAGCAACGCCGCGUGAAGGAUGAAGUAUUUCGGUAUGUAAACUUCGUAAGAAUAGGAAGAAUAAAUGACGGUACUAUUUGUAAGGUCCGGCUAACUACGUGCCAGCAGCCGCGGUAAUACGUAGGGACCAAGCGUUGUUCGGAUUUACUGGGCGUAAAGGGCGCGUAGGCGGUGUGUCAAGUCAGUUGUGAAAUCUCCGAGCUUAACUCGGAACGGUCAACUGAUACUGUCACACUAGAGUACAGAAGGGGCAAUCGGAAUUCUUGGUGUAGCGGUGAAAUGCGUAGAUAUCAAGAGGAACACCUGAGGCGAAGGCGGGUUGCUGGGCUGAUACUGACGCUGAGGCGCGAAAGCUAGGGUAGCAAA
rnacentral:rRNA from 1 species